UACGGAAGGUCCUGGCGUUAUCCGGAUUUAUUGGGUUUAAAGGGAGCGCGGGCGGCCUGUUAAGCGUGACGUGAAAUGCGGUGGCUCAACCACUGGAGUGCGUCGCGAACUGCCGGGCUUGAGCGCGCUGAACGAGGGUGGAAUUCGCGGUGUAGCGGUGAAAUGCUUAGAUAUCGCGAGGAACUCCGAUUGCGAAGGCAGCUCUCGGCGGCGCUACUGACGCUGAUGCUCGAAGGUGCGGGUAUCGAAC
rnacentral:rRNA from 1 species